CCUACGGGUGGCAGCAGUGAGGAAUAUUGGUCAAUGGGCGCGAGCCUGAACCAGCCACGUCGCGUGAGGGAUGCCGGUCCUAUGGAUUGUAAACCUCUUUUGUCGGGGAGCGACAGACGCCACGCAUGGCGUUCCGAGAGUACCCGAAGAAACAGCAUCGGCUAACUCCGUGCCAGCAGCCGCGGUACAACGUAGGAUGCGAGCGUUAUCCGGAUUUAUUGGGUUAAAAGGGUGCGCAGGGGGAAGAUCAAGUCAGCGGGAAAAUUGAGAGGCUCAACCUCGUCGAGCCGUUGAAACUGGUGUUCUUGAGUGAGUGAGAAGUAGGCGGAAUGCGUGGUGUAGCGGUGAAAUGCAUAGAUAUCACGCAGAACUCCGAUUGCGAAGGCAGCAUACCGGCGCUCGACUGACGCUCAUGCACGAAAGUGUGGGUAUCGAACAGGAUUAGAUACCCGGGUAGUC
rnacentral:rRNA from 1 species